AUGGUCAGAACAUGUAACAAGAAUGGAAGAGUCAAGGUUCCCAUGCCAAGUCUUAUCCAAAGAAAAGACCACAGGCCU